UGACCUCAAAUCAGGUAGGACUACCCGCUGAACUUAAGCAUAUCAAUAAGCGGAGGAAAAGAAACUAACAAGGAUUCCCCUAGUAACUGCGAGUGAAGCGGGAAAAGCUCAAAUUUAAAAUCUGGCAGUCUUUGGCUGUCCGAGUUGUAAUCUAGAGAAGUGUUAUCCGCGCUGGACCGUGUACAAGUCUCCUGGAAUGGAGCGUCAUAGAGGGUGAGAAUCCCGUCUUUGACACGGACUGCCAGGGCUUUGUGAUGCGCUCUCAAAGAGUCGAGUUGUUUGGGAAUGCAGCUCAAAAUGGGUGGUAAAUUCCAUCUAAAGCUAAAUAUUGGCGAGAGACCGAUAGCGAACAAGUACCGUGAGGGAAAGAUGAAAAGAACUUUGGAAAGAGAGUUAAACAGUACGUGAAAUUGCUGAAAGGGAAACGCUUGAAGUCAGUCGCGUUGUCCAGGGAUCAACCUUGCUUUUGCUUGGUGCACUUUCUGGUUGACGGGUCAGCAUCAAUUUUGAUCAUUGGAAAAAGAUUAGGGGAAUGUGGCAUCUUUGGAUGUGUUAUAGCCCUUGGUUGCAUACAAUGGUUGGGAUUGAGGAACUCAGCACGCCGCAAGGCCGGGUUUUUAACCACGUACGUGCUUAGGA
rnacentral:rRNA from 1 species